UUCUCUCUGUGCCAUGUGUCGCGUUCUGACUCGUCCAAUGCAUCCUAAUAGGACAAAACAUGAAUAGGACAAAACUGCAUAAAAAUUUUUGUUGACUUGGCCAUUUGGACCCUUUUUGGCCCCUGUUGGGCCUUUCCUUGCUGUCAGCACCCCUUUUGGGGCUUACACCCCCCUUGGCAGCUACUUCUUUCUUUUUUAUUUUAAUUUUUACUCCUUUUUCUUAUCUUUUAAUCUCUUUUUUUCCUAAAAU
rnacentral:lncRNA from 1 species